CAAGGAAGACCAUGAAGUUUUGUAAGCUCCAGCUGUUUGAAUCCAAGAGACCAUGCACCCUACCCUUCUAUGCCAGCCACCUGCACUUCUCAUAGACAUGGUCUGAGAGCUUCCAGGGCAUCCCUAUGGCUCCAUGACAAGAAGAUCGAAACAGUGGCUACAGAGGACUCCCUGAGAUCUGCAUGCUCAAGGUGACCUAUGCAAAAAGAGGUUUUAUAAUGAAGCCACAAUAAUUAGGCUGUCACAGUCCAGUUUGGGGCUAUUGUGUCGUUGUCCUUUCCAUGGCUCACCUUAGCCUGACUGGAAUUCUAAAACCCUUAUAUAUUAUCUCCCAUAACACUUAGAAAGGUAUUAAAAAUGUGUGCAGUACUGGCAGAAGCAAGCUUUCUAAUUAUUGUCAACUAUUUCCAGUGUGACGUGGCAGAUUCCCUUGAGAACUGAAACAACAGCCCACUCCAGGAUUUGUAAUAGGCCCUAGAGCCUAAGUAAUUGUAGACAGAGCUGUUUCCCUCAGGAUAGAUAAUUGGUUUACAUAGCAGCUCAACAUCUGAACUAAAUCCUUUUUUUUUUCUAUUGUCAUUUCCCUGUUAAAUAUACAUAACUAUUUGGGAUAUUAAAUACAAUGCAAUUCACUAUUUAAUAGCAGAACAAUUUGCAUGAGCUACUUUACCUGGAAUGCUAAUAACUGUUAUCACCCUACAUUUUCAUGCAUAAAUGAUAAAAUAUUAUUAAGGUGAAAUGCUGUACUCCUUAAUCAAGCACAACUUCCACUGAAGCCACUGGGAGAUUUGCUCAAUUAAAUAUUGCAAAACAUAUUUCUUAGUUUGUUGAAAGUAAGAUAUCAUCAUUAAAAUAUUCUACCUAAUGUUAUUAUUGGUCAGCUUAUUAAAUGGGACCAUAUUAAUGUUUUUGCAGGUAUAACCAACACUGUAGGGUGCUGAUCUAUUAUCAUCAGUUUAUAAACCACUUUUAUAAAAUGCGCAAUUACCAGAAUUAAUGAUUAAGAUACAAAUAUAUUUACUGUCACUGGUAAUAACAUGAUUCUAACAACUAAAUGUCCUUAGUCUGAGUUGCUAUAUAUGUAAGAGAGAUACGGAGCUUAUUCUUAAAACAGAUUUUACUUUCCGUUUGCAAAUCUAGGACUAGUACAUACAAAAUUCUUUUAAAAACAUGUAAAAAGACACUGCAGUGGUAGCGAUUUCUUUCUUUAACAAAGGGUGCCUUACUAUUUCAUGUAGUAGAAAAAAGAAAACAAUUGCAGAACAUUAGAAUAAAACUUAUUUGCUCAUUUUUUCAAGGAGCAUAACAAGAUCCUGAGCUUGCAAGUACUGAGUACUUCAGAAAUUCAGGAUGCUCAGAAAUCACAAGACUGCCUCCUGAUCCUUGUGGUUAAGUAUAAUACCCAGCUGUGCAAUGCAGCUAGAGGUUUCAUGUCUUUGACACUAAAUUUUGUCAUAUUGGAGUUGAAGAAGCAGGACCCUAGUAACAAGACUCAUCUUGCAUUUUCUAUUCCUUCACUGAUUUCAGUGAAUAUCCUGGGUGCACGAAAAAUUAGCAUUGUGCCUGUAGCUUGUUACCUGACAUAUACAAGAACUGAAAACACCACAUAUAUUUCUACUGUCCAUCAUUCAUCACAAGCUCAAAAAUCACAUGGAAGCUGUGAUAUCUGAAGUGCUCAUUCGUCACUCUGUGUCUGAUAUUAAGAUGCUGUUGCCAGGUAUUUUCUGUCCC